CAAGGAGGACCCCAAGAGAAGACUUCAUAGUCCCUUGAAUAAAGGUAUGGGAACAAGAACUCCUGACCAAAUUGGAGCCCGAGGGCAGGGAGAGAAAGGAAAGCCAUCAUCCAGUUGCUGCUCAAAGCAGAAACAGACACCCACAGCUUUAUUUCCAGUAUUUGCUAGAAUUCAUUGCUGAAGCCAUCAGGCCUGAAGUUUCCCUGUCUUCUGUUGGAGGAUAACACCAUGGCCAGCUGUAGAACCAGAGCCUGCAACUGAAGCAUUGGAGCAGGUGUGGAAAUGAACAAGAGAGUGGCUGGAAUCAUGAAUAGUUUCAUGCUACCUGGCCAUGGAUGACACUCAUACUACAAGUCACAUCUGGAGCACCAAGAAGACACCUGUUCCUCCCAAAAAGAUGCUGGCCAACAUCAUGCUGUGAGCUGCAAAUAUAUACAACCCCAAAAGCCAAAUCAGAAAAAUGACUGACUGGCAUGUCCACCAGACAGUAGAAAUUCCUUCUGAG
rnacentral:lncRNA from 1 species